rnacentral:rRNA from 1 species
UACGGAGGGUGCGAGCGUUGUCCGGAAUCACUGGGCGUAAAGGGCGCGUAGGUGGCUUGGCAAGCGUGUGGUGAAAGCCCGGGCUCAACCCCGGGUCUGCCGUGCGAACUGCUAUGGCUUGAGCACUGUAGAGGCAGGUAGAAUUCCGGGUGUAGCGGUGGAAUGCGUAGAGAUCCGGAAGAAUACCGGUGGCGAAGGCGGCCUGCUGGGCAGUGGCUGACACUGAGGCGCGACAGCGUGGGGAGCAAACAGG